AGUGAACGCUGGCGGUAGGCCUAACACAUGCAAGUCGAACGGCAGCACAGUAAGAGCUUGCUCUUACGGGUGGCGAGUGGCGGACGGGUGAGGAAUACAUCGGAAUCUACUUUUUCGUGGGGGAUAACGUAGGGAAACUUACGCUAAUACCGCAUACGACCUACGGGUGAAAGCAGGGGAUCUUCGGACCUUGCGCGAUUGAAUGAGCCGAUGUCGGAUUAGCUAGUUGGCGGGGUAAAGGCCCACCAAGGCGACGAUCCGUAGUUGGUCUGAGAGGAUGAUCAGCCACACUGGAACUGAGACACGGUCCAGACUCCUACGGGAGGCAGCAGUGGGGAAUAUUGGACAAUGGGCGCAAGCCUGAUCCAGCCAUACCGCGUGGGUGAAGAAGGCCUUCGGGUUGUAAAGCCCUUUUGUUGGGAAAGAAAAGCAGCAGGUUAAUACCCCGCUGUUCUGACGGUACCCAAAGAAUAAGCACCGGCUAACUUCGUGC
rnacentral:rRNA from 1 species